rnacentral:rRNA from 1 species
GUGCAGCAGGCGAGAAAACUUUACAAUGUGCGAAAGCACGAUAAGGGAACUCUGAGUGCCUCCUAAGGAGGCUGUUCAGGUGUCUAAAAAGCACCUGGAGUAAGGGCUGGGUAAGACCGGUGCCAGCCGCCGCGGUAACACCGGCAGCCCCAGGUGGUAGCCACUUUUAUUGGGUCUAAAGCGUCCGUAGCCGGUUGAGUAAGUUCCUUGGGAAAUUUGGCUGCUCAACAGUCAAGCUUCCAGGGAAUACUGCUCGACUUGGGACUGGGAGAGGUCAGAGGUACUCCAGGGGUAGGGGUGAAAGUCCCAUUAAGUCCCUGGGGGACCACCGGGUAGCGAAGGCGUCUGACCAGACCAGGUCCGACGGUGAGGGACGAAGGCUAGGGUCGCGAACC